UACGUAGGGUGCGAGCGUUAAUCGGAAUUACUGGGCGUAAAGCGUGCGCAGGCGGUUUUGUAAGCCAGAUGUGAAAGCCCCGGGCUCAACUUGGGAACUGCAUUGGAAACUGGCCAGCUGGAGUGUGGCAGAGGGGGGUGGAAUUCCGCGUGUAGCAGUGAAAUGCGUAGAGAUGCGGAGGAACACCGAUGGCGAAGGCAGCCCCCUGGGCCAACACUGACGCUCAGGCACGAAAGCGUGGGGAGCAAACAGG
rnacentral:rRNA from 1 species